CGCCAAGGAGGGCGGUGGUUCCAUACAGUUACGAGUUUUCGAAAGAAAACUCGCAGCUAAACAAUGUACAAGGAGGUACAUUGUUUAGCGA
rnacentral:sRNA from 1 species